rnacentral:lncRNA from 1 species
CUGAUCAUCGUUACUUCGCAAUUUAUGGACGGCAAUCCACUCAUUCCACUGAUCAAACGCAGCCCGGCCAAUUUGGAUUGGGCUUCUAAGAUUAUCGUUCCAAAUUUUAUCAUUCCGGUUCUGCCAUAUGCUCCAUAACAGCAUAGCCACUCUACCUAUAGUAGCGUAAUCCUCAUUCCGACACACGGCAAACACUCUAUCUGCCGCACUACCUUGCUGACAAGCUGCGGAACCCAAGACAGAUGACAGUCCAGCUGCUUGCCAACUGGAUUGAGCAGAAGCGCAGGUGAAAAACGCGUGUACAUCAUCUUCUACCUCAUCUUCACAUAAUGGACAAUG